AGAGUUUGAUCCUGGCUCAGAUUGAACGCUGGCGGCAUGCCUUACACAUGCAAGUCGAACGGUAACAGGUCUUCGGAUGCUGACGAGUGGCGAACGGGUGAGUAAUACAUCGGAACGUGCCCAGUAAUGGGGGAUAGCUCGGCGAAAGCCGGAUUAAUACCGCAUACGCCCUGAGGGGGAAAGUGGGGGACCGCAAGGCCUCACGUUAUUGGAGCGGCCGAUGGCUGAUUAGCUAGUUGGUAGGGUAAAGGCCUACCAAGGCGACGAUCAGUAGCUGGUCUGAGAGGACGAUCAGCCACACUGGGACUGAGACACGGCCCAGACUCCUACGGGAGGCAGCAGUGGGGAAUUUUGGACAAUGGGGGAAACCCUGAUCCAGCAAUGCCGCGUGUGCGAAGAAGGCCUUCGGGUUGUAAAGCACUUUUGUCAGGGAAGAAAUCCUUUGGGCUAAUACCCUAGGGGGAUGACGGUACCUGAAGAAUAAGCACCGGCUAACUACGUGCCAGCAGCCGCGGUAAUACGUAGGGUGCAAGCGUUAAUCGGAAUUACUGGGCGUAAAGCGUGCGCAGGCGGUUGUGUAAGACAGGUGUGAAAUCCCCGGGCUUAACCUGGGAAUUGCAUUUGUGACUGCACGACUAGAGUGUGUCAGAGGGGGGGUGGAAUUUCACGUGUAGCAGUGAAAUGCGUAGAUAUGUGGAGGAACACCAAUGGCGAAGGCAGCCCCCUGGGAUAACACUGACGCUCAUGCACGAAAGCGUGGGGAGCAAACAGGAUUAGAUACCCUGUAGUCCACGCCCUAA
rnacentral:rRNA from 1 species